UACGUAGGGGGCAAGCGUUGUCCGGAUUUAUUGGGCGUAAAGAGCGUGUAGGCGGCCAGACAGGUCCGUUGUGAAAACUCGAGGCUCAACCUCGAGAUGUCGAUGGAAACCGUCUGGCUAGAGUCCGGAAGAGGAGAGUGGAAUUCCCGGUGUAGCGGUGAAAUGCGCAGAUAUCGGGAAGAACACCCGUGGCGAAGGCGGCUCUCUGGGACGGUACUGACGCUGAGACGCGAAAGCGUGGGGAGCGAACAGG
rnacentral:rRNA from 1 species